rnacentral:lncRNA from 1 species
UCGCUCCAUGCCUUCCCUAAUCUACAUCUGUAAUCUUCCAUGAUUCAUCCAAGCCCUUUCCGAUCCAACAAAUCAUUGCCCCGUUUCUCCCCAAAAAACAAUCUUCUGUUGGCCACAUGAAGAACAACAAUUGGAGCUCUCGACGGGAUGCGAGUAUCUAUCAGGUGGAUCCUCCCACCGUAACUUCAGAAUAGCUCCGGUUGCAGAGACGCUGAUCGAGAGCCAUGAAGAAAGCUGCGGGUCUCCGUAUGAAAGAUGCACCAGAUCCCCUAAUUUGGAUGUUGAAUCUGAGUCCUCGACGUCGGAUUCAGGAUUCCCCACUCCCAGCAGCCAACGGAGAUGUUAAAUCGAGUAGCCCCAUCUCCAACAAAUCCGGAACAGAGCCAUGUUCAUGGCAGAGAAGGUACGCAUCCUGGGGACAACAAAUUUUUGUUAUUGAUUCCAUAUCUGAUGGAUUGAAAAGGACAAUUUAUUUACUCUGAACCUAGGAUUUGUCGUUAGAAAUAUGAUAUCUGUAAAGAACUAAUCAAGUGUUUGAUAGCACCAGUCUCCAAUACUAAGCGAGAGUUUUGCCUAGCGGUAACAACAUAUACAGAACAAAUGGCUUGUAGCACAAAAUUGUUAGCGACUACACCAGUGUCAAAUGCAUUGUACCUGGUCUAAUGCAUGAGCAGAAAAACAGGAAAAGGGACAAUGAAAUUUGGCAAUAAUGUCAAACGAUGAUGUAUGUUCACCUACCCAACAGUGAAAAAACUACAUAAGACUUCUAAAUCAAUGUGUGGAUUUGUGUAUGUCGAAUUUCAGAGUGUCCGUUCAUAUAUUAGGAUUGCAGAAGCGAAUCUGCAUGAUAUCUCUGAAAUAGACAAUAUGUGAAUCAAUUGUGUGCCAAAGUUCAGACACUAUAUUCAAAAAUUUGAUCUACAGCAAUGCCCAAUCCCGUAUAUGAAAAAAUAAGACUGUUAAUUUAUCCGAGUGUCAUACUUCUGAUUGUACAUUCAUAUCUUAUGUUUGCACAACAAGUCUGCAUGAUAUCUUUGAAAAGAAAUAAGAUGAGAAUUAUAGCAUGCUCUUCUACUAUAAUUUGGGGUUUGGAACGGCUUUCAUAGGUAUGAACUCUAUUAAGUAAAGGGCACUACAGUAUAGUAUCCACUUGGAGUUUAUAGAUCAGAUAAUGGUUCACAAAAUAUUUUGCUUGAAUACCUCAAUAAUUCUGUCUAAAAAUAAGAACCUGAUUAAUCAGGUACAGAUGGCUUCGGCCGGCUGCUACUAAAAGAUACUCAAUAUUUGUGACUUCACGUGAUGAUUGGAACUUAAGAUCAUCUUUAUCAUUAAAGAUUUCAGCACAAAGUUGAUCUGCUUUACUUCUACAUCAAAAACGAAUAUUUAUAAGGUGAAAAGUAAUAAAAAUAAUGAAUCUUCAUAAACUUGACCAUUAAUCUGUAAUCAGUAGUUGGCACGAGCAGGGCCGGCCGGUCCCAGGUCUCAAGUGGCAGAGCAAGAUAAUCUCCUCUCCAAAGACCAGUGGGCGCACCGACACUGAUCUAUGUAGCGGGUCUGUCAUUGUCUCUAAUAAUAUUAUAAUAUCAUCCUCUUUAACUUUAUAUUUGGAUUCUCUAUUGUGCAGGAAUAAACAAUCAAAAUAAAAGGUGGGCCACACAGCAAGGAAUUUGAGAAACCAUCCAAUGUGGUUAAAAAAAACAAAUAAGCAAUGUAACAAGCAGUGGUGGAGCUACCAAAAAAAUAUUGGGCGGGCCGGAUAGUAUAAAGAGUAGUAACAAAGUAAAAAAUCUAUAUUGUUGUGGGCUAGACUUCAUAUAAAACUUUAUUUGCUUCAGCCAAGGGCGGGACAUGGCCCUUUCAGCCUUGCUGAAGCUCUGCCGGUGGUAACAAGGUGAUCUAUUAUUAAUCGUGAAUCUUAUUUUGGUAUCACAAGAAUGUUACUACUAAAAAGGCAGUACUUCCAAUUAGCCACAAGAGGUUCCUAAUUGAUUUUAGCUUGCACCAGAAAACAAUAUUUUAAAUUGUUAUCUUCUUGAAGCAAAUCCAUACAAUGAGCCAAAAAAUGGCAAGAUUGGAAAGGAGAAUGAAACCGCAAGACAAGAAAAAUAGAGUCUUUUUUGAUCAUACAUGGGGAUGUCCUACACUACAUAACUACACCAAAAGAACAACCUUUAAUCUACGUGAAGUAAUAAAAUCUUCACAAAGUUUUACCCUUAUGUGUAUUAUCAUCCAUGUGAUUCUAAACUUUACCAGUAAUGACACACAACUGAUAGUAUAGUAUACAUGAAGCAAACAUUAUGUACCUUGCUUAUGCUUUGCACAUCAACUAUGCUAUCUAUGUGCCCAAAUCUUUCUAAACAUAAAAUAUUCCUUCAUUAACUCCACGAUUUGAUGUAGUAUAAUUAUAUCUCACAAAUUUUACCAUGAACAAGAGGUUAUAAACUCCGGUGGCACAUGCAUUUCCAUAUCUUCAAGCGGGGCUAAUUUAAAUUGCUCUAUUAAAUCACAGAAACAUGUUACAUUUGGUUAUGCCUGUAACUAUGAAGUAUGCUUUCAAAAAAUAAUUAUAAAACACAUGCACUCUGUCUAAACCAAUAUUGAGGAAAGAAUGUUCCAUUGCCACAAGGAACAAUGUCCUAUACAAAUGUUCAAAUGUACAUUGACUGCGACCACGGGUAAUAAAUUGCUUAUGAAGGAAAUUCCAUCUCUUAGUUCUACUAAUUGGUAUUUAUGUUUACGAAGGGCAAUUAACAAAAUGGAUAAAGCUAAAGAGACAAGACUACAUAGGAAAAUAAAAAUAGAAAGCACAAGGGUUGCAGAACAAUCGACAAAAAAGGGCACUAAUCGGUCAGACUGGUGAGACUAUGAGGUAAGCAACAAGAAAAUAGAAUCAACAUCUAAAGUUUGGACAUUCGUGAACCCCAUAUUUCUGUUAUGUACAUGUACAUGAAUAAAAGUAAGAAAAAUUGUGCUACAUCAAUAUCAAGCAGAAAGAAAUAAACACCAGAUACAUAAGUUCUAUUGAUUUUUCUGAAGUAUUAGAAAUACAAGACAAUGCUAAUAUUAAAUUGAUGCUAAAUCGGAAACUUGGACAGGAUAUCGGAAAGGACUAAUAGGAAAACCAAGCUCCAAGUGUGACCGAUGUGGCGCAAUUUUCUGGUACGAAGAAAGAACUUCAGGUAGAGUGAAAAGCAUGCCAUCUUUCGGACUAUGAUGCCAACAGGGAAAGGUUGGUUUGCCACCAUUCAGAGAGCUACCGACUUACCUUGCAGAAUUGCUAAGGAAAGACAAUAGAAACAGGUCAAAAAAAUAUACACAAAAUAUCAGAUUGUACAACUCCAUGUUCGCUUUCACGACAAUGGGAGGGAAAAUAGGAAAAAAAAACAAUAGCAGUAGGUCCUAUGUUUUAGAAUGAACGGGCAAAAUUACCACAGAAUAGGCACUCUACUACCUGAAGGUAAAGACAGACCACGCUGGGCACAGUUGUACAUCUAUGACACUGAAAAUGAGGUAAGAAACAUGAUUAAGGCGUCGACGUCUGAAGAUAAAAUGGAGUCAAUAGAUGCUCACAUCGUCGAGGAACUUAAAAUAUGCUGGAUAGAGAUAAUAUACUUGCAAAAACAUUCAGAAUGGCAAGGGACAGAUUCGAAGAAGGUGACUAUCACAACAUGAGAUUAAAACUAAUCAAAUUUAUGUUUUAUAAAAUCUGAUAGUUUUUUGUUACAAGUCAUAGUGCAGAUAAAAAAGUUAGGCUUGAUAAGAAGAAGUUCUCCAUUUUCUCCAUCUUAUUAGGUGUAUGCAAAAUAUGAUGCAGGUGCUGUUUUGGUAGUGGAACCUUUCUACGUGUAUGUUUACCUUUCUCUAUAUUAUCUUCCAUAAAAGUAUUGUAACACAAUAUCAAGUGCAUACCUUUUGCUCCCAAGCUUCGAAUAGCCAAAUAAUUCAGAAUUAAACAAAUAAAAAUCCUCCUUUAAGUUUGAGACUGUCCUGAUUUUUUCCUUGCAUGUUAAAUGUUCAUCCUAACACCUGAUUAUGAUUUUUCUUUUAUAUUUGCAUGUUCCCCAUAAAAGACUAACAUGCUUUUUUUCAGUUGUAAAGACUAACAUGCUGAACUAAAAUAUUUUGACAGUACAUAAAAAAUGAAAAAGUCAUUUAACUUAAUCUUAUGAAGCACAUCUACAUGCAUUAAAUCACCAGCCACUGGCCGCACCAGCGAAUCGAGCUGCAAGGGGUGGCUGCAGCCUGCAGGUGAGGACAAUCAAGCUCAAGGCACCGAAUCAAGGGAGCGAGUUGAUGGGAGCAAUCCGGCGGCAGUAAUUUUGUAGUGAGCGGAGAGAAUAAGGAAGAGAAAAAGGGGAUCGGGCAAGAGCAACAUGCUACUGUGUGAAGUGUGAACGGGUAAGAGGAUUUUUUAGGCUGCUCAGGAAAGAAGAUGUGUGGUCGCUAUGUCCAUAUGCGUGAGGCUAUUUAGCUAAAUCCCAUAAUAUCCCAUCACAAGAAAUAUAGGAGUACUAACUUUUCCAAAAACAACUACACAAAAAAACUAUACUCAUAAGUCGAGAAGACUUACCUAAUAGGGAAAGCAAAGGAAUUAGCAUGAUGGGACCCAUGAAACCAAUGACGGUUUGUACAUGUAAUAGUAGCGUGCACAAUUCUUUUUUUUUCCUAAUGAAAAUACUAUGGACGAUGUAUCUUUUCUAGGAAGUGGACAAGCUGAGAGCAAACUAUGCCGACGUGUCUUUUUUUCAAGCAAAAUAUAAGUUU